rnacentral:rRNA from 1 species
UAACCUUGCGAAAGUAAGACUAAUACCCAAUGACGUCUCUAGAAGACAUCUGAAAGAGAUUAAAGAUUUAUCGGUGAUGGAUGGGGAUGCGUCUGAUUAGCUUGUUGGCGGGGUAACGGCCCACCAAGGCGACGAUCAGUAGGGGUUCUGAGAGGAAGGUCCCCCACAUUGGAACUGAGACACGGUCCAAACUCCUACGGGAGGCAGCAGUGAGGAAUAUUGGUCAAUGGGCGAGAGCCUGAACCAGCCAAGUAGCGUGCAGGAUGACGGCCCUAUGGGUUGUAAACUGCUUUUAUAAGGGAAUAAAGUGAGUCUCGUGAGACUUUUUGCAUGUACCUUAUGAAUAAGGACCGGCUAAUUCCGUGCCAGCAGCCGCGGUAAUACGGAAGGUCCGGGCGUUAUCCGGAUUUAUUGGGUUUAAAGGGAGCGUAGGCCGGAGAUUAAGCGUGUUGUGAAAUGUAGACGCUCAACGUCUGCACUGCAGCGCGAACUGGUUUCCUUGAGUACGCACAAAGUGGGCGGAAUUCGUGGUGUAGCGGUGGAAUGCUUAGAUAUCACGAAGAACUCCGAUUGCGAAGGCAGCUCACUGGAGCGCAACUGACGCUGAAGCUCGAAAGUGCGGGUAUCGAACAGGAUUAGAUACCCUGGUAGUCCGCACGGUAAACGAUGGAUGCCCGCUGUUGGUCUGAAUAGGUCAGCGGCCAAGCGAAAGCAUUAAGCAUCCCACCUGGGGAGUACGCCGGC